rnacentral:rRNA from 1 species
AUGAAACACUCCUACGGGAGGCAGCAGUGGGGAAUUUUGGACAAUGGGCGCAAGCCUGAUCCAGCCAUGCCGCGUGUCUGAAGAAGGCCUUCGGGUUGUAAAGGACUUUUGUCAGGGAGGAAAAGGCUGUUGCUAAUACCGACAGCUUAUGACGGUACCUGAAGAAUAAGCACCGGCUAACUACGUGCCAGCAGCCGCGGUAAUACGUAGGGUGCAAGCGUUAAUCGGAAUUACUGGGCGUAAAGCGUGCGCAGGCGGUUGUGUAAGUCAGAUGUGAAAUCCCCGGGCUCAACCUGGGAAUUGCAUUUGAGACUGCACGGCUAGAGUGUGUCAGAGGGGGGUAGAAUUCCACGUGUAGCAGUGAAAUGCGUAGAUAUGUGGAGGAAUACCGAUGGCGAAGGCAGCCCCCUGGGAUGACACUGACGCUCAUGCACGAAAGCGUGGGGAGCAAACAGGAUUAGAUACCCUAGUAGUCCGAAGUUC